ACUGUUCUCUGCAGCCUUCUUGAUGCCAGCCUCAUCCUCUGGCGCAUCUGGGCUCAGCCCCAUCAGGUCAAACCUAGGCAAGCAGAGGCAGCAGCUUCUGGAAGACCUGGCCAGCCUCUGCAGCUCCCUCAGCUCCCACCUCCCUCUAGCCCCAAACUCACCAGGAGGGCAUCACCAUCUUCAUGUUGAGUGUCACGGGGAUCCUGGGCCUGGGGAGGGGGAGGCAGAAGGGCUCAUCAGGCUCAGGAGGGUUAAAGCCACAGCAAAGAGCCAGGAAGGGGGCAGAGCAGCCCUUGGGAACCCCUCCCAGCAGGCAGGGCUUGUGUUUCAGGUGUUGCCAGGCAACCUGCCACGUGGGGCUGAACGCUGUGGUUGGGGCAUCAGCCGUAAGGAUGGAGAAGCAGAGCCCAACGCCCCAUGAUGGGAGUCCAGCUCAAAGGGCCAGCUGCCACCACCGAGGCUGACCCAGGAGCCCUUACCGCAGCCGUUUCCCGCUCAGCUCCAGACACGGUGGCAGCGUCGGUGAGCAGGGGAACAGACAUGGUGUUACCACACAUACACUGUAGGACUCCCUGCAGGCUGGGCCUGCACGGGAAUGAGGGGGUUGUCAAGAGCAAGGCCAACCAGAGGGGUUCACCCAGGCCAUCGGCCCCACAGAGCACACAUCUUUGAUCCAGGGCACAGAGAAAAAGGCAGGCGAAAAGUCUGGAGCAAGAUGUUCUGGAAGCUACCUCCCAUCCCAGGGCCGAGAAACAAAAGCAGCCAGCCUAGUGGUCCUUACUAGUGUCCCUUAGUUCUGACCCAACCCAAGAGCAUGUGCAUGCUCGAGAGAAGCCUGGGGCAGGGCUCAGUUCCAAAGGUUGGGAGGUGGUGGGGGGGGGACACAGGACAUCCCCUGCUGCUUUUCCAAAUCCUCUAAGCCUCUUAGUAUGAACUGCCUCUUCCCUUUUCUGCAGCCCUUGGGUCUCUUAACCCCCAACUCCUGCUCUAGAGGGAAAUGAAAGGGAGCAAAAUGCCAAGGAAACAGGCUUCUAAUCACCCUUCCCCCCCGCCUUCCCGUCCCUUCUAACCAGCCUCUAUCUUCACAGCAGUUUCUGGCUCAAUCAGAAAUUCCCAGAGCCACUGGUGCAUGUCCAUGUCCUAAGAGAGCCUAAGGUCUCCCAGUCUGCCACCCCAGGCCACCAACUGGUGCUGCAAGGCUACCUGCUUUGCUACUGCCAAAGUCGCUGUUGCUGCUGCUGCUGCUGCCGCCACUGACUCCAAAUGAGCCCCCAACUGAACAGGUUCUGGGACUCCCAACACAAAAGAAUGUCAGGCUGGCCGGCCCCUCCCCAUCCCUAGCAUCCUCCAAACUCCCGGAAGCUUCCGCUACCUGCCUCUAAGUGCCUAGCCUUCACGGGGCGCCCCGCCCUCCAGGAACUCCCAUCUCCACGCAGCGCUUCCCCCUCUGAGGGGUGUCUGCCCGCUGGACCCGGCGUUUCUCGCCUCUCUCCCCACAAUGGGAACUUGGGUUCUGACCCGGAGGCACCCCUGCUCCACAGCGGUGGCAUCUUCUACCCCGGGCCGGGAGCAUCCGCACCUGCCCACAAAGGGGCUUGCUGCCGUGUCACCCUGGGGGAGUCCUCCGCCCACAAUGGGGUCUCCCACUUCCGACCGCGAAGUGGACCCUCGGCCCGCGCGCGCAGCCCCUCGCCCGGCCCAGCUCCACUGGCCAGGU